CGCUGGCGGCGUGCCUAAUACAUGCAAGUCGAACGCACUCUCGUUAGAUUGAAGGAGCUUGCUCCUGAUUGAUAACAUUUGAGUGAGUGGCGGACGGGUGAGUAACACGUGGGUAACCUGCCCUAAAGUGGGGGAUAACAUUUGGAAACAGAUGCUAAUAUCGCAUAAAACCUAACACCGCAUGGUGUAGGGUUGAAAGAUGGUUUCGGCUAUCACUUUAGGAUGGACCCGCGGUGCAUUAGUUAGUUGGUGAGGUAAAGGCUCACCAAGACCGUGAUGCAUAGCCGACCUGAGAGGGUAAUCGGCCACACUGGGACUGAGACACGGCCCAGACUCCUACGGGAGGCAGCAGUAGGGAAUCUUCCACAAAGGACGAAAGUCUGAUGGAGCAACGCCGCGUGAGUGAAGAAGGUUUUCGGAUCGUAAAACUCUGUUGUUGGAGAAGAAUGUAUCUGAUAGUAACUGAUCAGGUAGUGACGGUAUCCAACCAGAAAGCCACGGCUAACUACGUG
rnacentral:rRNA from 1 species